GAGGGGGAUAUAGAGGGAGAGAUGGAGAUAUAGAGAGAUAGAGGGAGAGAGAGAGAGAGGGAGAGAUGGAGAGAGAUAUAGAGGGAGAUAUAGAGAUAGUGGGAGAUAGAGAUAGAGAGAGAUAUAGGGAGAUAAUAGAGGGAUAUAGAGGGGAUAUAGAGAGAUGGAGGGAGAGAGAGAGAUAUAGGGGGAGAUAUAGAGGGAGAUAGAGAUAUAGGGAUAGAGGGAGAGAUGGAGGGGGAUAUAGAAGGAGAGAGAGAUGGAGAGAUGAAGGGAUAUAGAGAGGGAGAUACAGAGGGAGAGAGAGAGAGGGAAAUAGAGAGGGAAAUAGAGAGAUAGAGGGAGAUACAGAGGGAGAUAUAGAGUGAUAGAGAGGGAGAUAGAGGGAUAGAGGGAUACAGAGGGAGAUACAGAGGUAGAGGGAGAGAUAGAGAGAGAGAUAGGGAGGGAGGGGGAUAUAGAGGGGGAUAUAGAGAUAGAGGGAGAGAUAGAGAGAUAUAGGGAGAUAUUAGGGAGAUAGAGAGAUAAGAGGGAGAGAGAGAGGGGGAUAGAGAGAUAGAAGGAGAUACGGAGAUAGAGGGAGAGAGAUGGAGGGAGAGAUAUAGAGAUGGAGAGAUAGAGAGAUAGAGAGAGAUACAUAGAGAGAGAUAGAGGGAAAUAGAGAGAUAGGGAGAGGGAGAUAUAGAGAUAGGGGGAGAUAGAGGGAGAUAUAGAGGGGGAUAUAGGGAGAGAUGGAGAGAGAGAGACGGGGAGAUAGGGAGAUAUAGGGGGAGAUAUAGGGGGAGAGAUAGGGGGAGAGAUAGGGGGAGAUAUAGAGAGAGAUAUGGAGAGAUAUGGAGGGAGAUAUAGAGAUAGAGGGAGAGAGAGAUGGAGAUACAGAGAGAGAUAGGGAGGGAGGGAGAGAUGGAGGGAUGGAGAUGGAGGGAUGGAGAUGAUGGAGAUAGAGGGAUAGAGAGAUGGAGGUGGAGAUAUAGGGAUGGAGAUAUAGAGAUGGAGAGAUAGAGAUGGAGAGAUAGAGAUGAUGGAGAUAGAGAUGAUGGAGAGAUAGAGAUGGAGAGAUAUAGAGAUGGAGAGAUAUAGAGAUGGAGAGAUAGAGAUGGAGAGAUAGAGAUGGAGAGAUAGAGAUGGAGAGAUAUAGAGAUGGAGAGAUAUAGAGAUGGAGAGAUAUAGAGAUGGAGAGAUAGAGAUGAUGGAGAUAGACAGAGAGAUGGAGAGAUGGAGGUGGAGAUAUAGAGAUGGAGGGAUGGGGAUGGAGAUAUAGAGAUGGAGAUGGAGAUAUAGAGAUGGAGAUGGAGAUGGACAGAGAGAUAUAGAGAUGGAGAGAUGGAGGUGGAGAUAUAGAGAUGGAGAUAUAGAGAUGGAGAUAUAGGGAUGGAGAUAUAGGGAUGGAGAUGGAGAUACAGAGCGAUACGGAUAUAAAGGGAGAUACAGAGGGAGAUAUAGAGAUGGAGGGAGAGAGAGAUAUAGAGGGAGGGAGAUACGGAGGGGGAUAUAGAGGGAGAUAUAGAGAUGGAGGGAGAGAUAGAGAGAGAGAUAGAGAUAGGGGGAGAUAUAGAGAGGGAGAGACGGAGGGAGAGAUAGGGAGAGAGAUAUAGAGAUAUAGAGGGAGAUAUAGAGACGGAGAGAUGGAGAUAGGGGGAGAUAUAGGGGGAGAUAGA
ensembl:lncRNA